UCCGUUGGUCUCCUGCGUUUUCAUUCAAAAGAAGACCAUAGUGAGCUACUCCGUUGUGUCGUGGGCGUGUACGGCAUGGUCAAACGGCUCAAAAAUCUCAUGUUUAGGACAUUGCUACUCUUUUCUGUUUGGAUGUGCAUGUUGUCCGAGAGAUCUCUUCCUUCACAUGUGUUUCAUGUAAUGAAACUAAUGUUGUGGCCUCUCUAAGGUACCGGCUGAUCUUAACUGUGUCAGACAACACUGAUACUGCAGCUUUCCUUGCUUUUGAUAUGGAGAUGGUUAAACUGACUAACAGUCAGCCUUCUGAGGCUGCACAAAUUGUGGGGAUAGGUGCUGAUGCUCAGGUUGAUACGGAACUUCCUCAGUCCCUUGCUGAGAUCGUUGGGAAAACUUAGACCUUCAAUUUCACUUCAAAGCACUGAACCUUUAAUAUCCCGCAUAUUUUCUGUGCGAGAUCUUGCACCGAUGCCAGCCUUUGUUAUAACUGUUCCUUAUCUUAAUGUGAAGUUACUGAAUUUUCUGCUGCCUGCAUUAUGUAAUAUAUUGUGUUCGUAACAUUAUUAAUAGGAAGGCGCAAAGCUAUUUGAAGAGUCGCUGCCUGAAGUUAUUGCAAUGAUGCUUCUACAGCCAAGCGUGAACCAUCUACCAAAGAACAAGGCGCUGUCGAUGAGAAUGCUCCGAAGAAAGUCUGUGUGGAAUGAGUCCACUACAAAGCUUAAGCAACCACAGCUUUUUUUUUCUUUUUUUUUUGUGCAACUAUCUUUUUUUUU